CGGCGUGCUAAUACAUGCAGUCGAGCGAAUGGAUUGAGAGCUUGCUCUCAAGAAGUUAGCGGCGGACGGGUGAGUAACACGUGGGUAACCUGCCCAUAAGACUGGGAUAACUCCGGGAAACCGGGGCUAAUACCGGAUAAUAUUUUGAACUGCAUGGUUCGAAAUUGAAAGGCGGCUUCGGCUGUCACUUAUGGAUGGACCCGCGUCGCAUUAGCUAGUUGGUGAGGUAACGGCUCACCAAGGCAACGAUGCGUAGCCGACCUGAGAGGGUGAUCGGCCACACUGGGACUGAGACACGGCCCAGACUCCUACGGGAGGCAGCAGUAGGGAAUCUUCCGCAAUGGACGAAAGUCUGACGGAGCAACGCCGCGUGAGUGAUGAAGGCUUUCGGGUCGUAAAACUCUGUUGUUAGGGAAGAACAAGUGCUAGUUGAAUAAGCUGGCACCUUGACGGUACCUAACCAGAAAGCCACGGCUAACUACGUGCCAGCAGCCGCGGUAAUACGUAGGUGGCAAGCGUUAUCCGGAAUUAUUGGGCGUAAAGCGCGCGCAGGUGGUUUCUUAAGUCUGAUGUGAAAGCCCAACGGU
rnacentral:rRNA from 1 species